GUCAACCUCUAUUUAAAAAAGAUUUGUGUCUGUGUUCUCUUCUCAUAUCCCUUCUAUUCACCCUCUCAAGGUCUUUUGAGGACAAUUUUGCCACGAUGUCAACGAUUCUGCAAGCAAUCGGAAUGCUCCACGCUGUCUUUACACAGCAUGCUGGAGCAGAUAAAAAACUGAACAAGGAAGAACUUGGUAAACUGUUCCGCAUAGAGUUUGGCAUGAAAGACUCCAAAGCAGCGGAAAACUUCCUCUGUGAACUGGAUAACAACAAGGAUGGUUUUGUCGAUUUUACUGAGUUUACUACUAUGGUUGCAGCCUUAAGCCUGAUGCUGCAGGAAUAAAUGGUUUGGCCAGAUUACUUAAGAA